rnacentral:lncRNA from 1 species
UUUGGAUUUUAUAUAAUACAAUUAGGACUAGCAAUUUUGACUAGUUCGUGCAAUUGGCAUGACAUCUAUAGUUGAAAAUCUGAUAUUGUUUGGAUUAUUGGGUGCUCUAAGUGUAUACAAAAUUUUGUAAUAAUCUAACGGCGUGGUUUAGAGUUAUCAAGUUUUUAGCACAAGAGGGUUUCAGAAGGUGGUAGUUUGAGGUUGGGUAGGGUUUCUAUGAUAUCUAAAGAUCUAUCAAUCGGAUUAAGGUAAAAAUUGGCAUGGUGUUGGAAGACUUAAAGAUAAAGCUACACACAAAUUUUGAGACAAAGUUAAUGGUUGAAGAAGGAGAAAUCAUUGCUGGGAUUUCUGCUUCACUUUUCAAGUUGGCGGCUGAGUGACAUUGGU